rnacentral:rRNA from 1 species
GAUGAACGCUAGCUACAGGCUUAACACAUGCAAGUCGCGGGACCGGCGCACGGGUGAGUAACGCGUAUCCAACCUGCCCUCCACCACGGGCUAACCCGGCGAAAGUCGGACUAAUACCCUAUGGCGAAGGAGGGGGAUGCGUUCGAUUAGCUUGAUGGAGGGGUAACGGCCCACCGUGGGUACGAGUGGUAGGGGUGCUGAGAGGGAGGUCCCCCACACUGGAACUGAGACACGGUCCAGACUCCUACGGGAGGCAGCAGUGAGGAAUAUUGGUCAGUGAGCGUAAGCCUGAACCAGCCAGGUAGCGUGCAGGACGACGGCCUGUGGGUUGUCAACUGCUUUUAUGCGGGGAUAGGUACCGAAUGAAUAAGGACCGGCUAAUUCCGUGCCAGCAGCCGCGGUAAUUC